GUAUUCUUAGCUCAGUUGGAUAGAGCACCAGCCUUCUAAGCUGUUGGUCACAGGUUCGAGUCCUGUAGAAUAUA
rfam:Bathycoccus prasinos genomic : Mitochondrion.